CAGCAGCCGCGGUAAUACAGGGGGUGCAAGCGUUGCUCGGAAUUACUGGGCGUAAAGCGUGCGUAGGUGGUGAGUUAAGUCUGUCGUGAAAGCCCCGGGCUCAACCUGGGAAUGGCGAUGGAUACUGGCGGGCUAGAGUGCGGUAGAGGGGAGUGGAAUUCCCGGUGUAGCAGUGAAAUGCGUAGAUAUGCGGAGGAACACCGAUGGCGAAGGCAAUCCCCUGGACCUGUACUGACGCUCAUGCACGAAAGCGUGGGGAGCAAACAGGAUUAGAUACCCGGUAGUCCUAGCCUUAAACGAUGAAUGCUUGGUGUCUGGGGUUUUAUAGUCCCCGGGUGCCGUCGCUAACGCUUUAAGCAUUCCGCCUGGGGAGUACGGUCGCAAGACUGAAACUCAAAGGAAUUGACGG
rnacentral:rRNA from 1 species